rnacentral:rRNA from 1 species
UACGGAGGGUGCGAGCGUUGUCCGGAAUCACUGGGCGUAAAGGGCGCGUAGGCGGCGCGGGGAGUCAACGGUGAAAGCUCGGCGCUCAACGCCGAGUCGGCCGUCGAUACUCCCGUGCUCGAGCACUGUAGAGGCAGGUGGAAUUCCGGGAGUAGCGGUGGAAUGCGUAGAGAUCCGGAAGAACACCGGUGGCGAAGGCGGCCUGCUGGGCAGUAGCUGACGCUGAGGCGCGACAGCGUGGGGAGCAAACAGG